AUACGUAGGGUGCAAGCGUUAAUCGGAAUUACUGGGCGCAAAGCGUGCGCAGGCGGUUUUGUAAGACAGUGGUGAAAUCCCCGGGCUCAACCUGGGAACUGCCAUUGUGACUGCAAGGCUGGAGUGCGGCAGAGGGGAUGGAAUUCCGCGUGUAGCAGUGAAAUGCGUAGAUAUGCGGAGGAACACCGAUGGCGAAGGCAAUCCCCUGGGCCUGCACUGACGCUCAUGCACGAAAGCGUGGGGAGCAAACAGGAUUAGAUACCCUGGUAGUCCACGCCCUAAACGAUGUCAACUGGUUGUUGGGGAUUUAUUUUCUCAGUAACGAAGCUAACGCGUGAAGUUGACCGCCUGGGGAGUACGGCCGCAAGGUUAAAACUCAAAUGAAUUGACGGGG
rnacentral:rRNA from 1 species